UUCUUUGACAUCUCAUCUUUCCUGGUAGAUCACAGGACAAUUGUUGUUUUCUACAAAUAUAAUUUUCAGAAAAGUAUUCUCCAAAUUGUAUUCUGACAAAGCUACAAGCAUCAAUUAGUUGUAGAAAACAACAAUUGUCAUGUGAUCUACCAGGAAAGAUAUGAUGUCCAAGAAA